GUCCAUAUCAACACAAUUCAAACAGUACUAUUUUAAUAGUAUUUAGUUUACUAAGUGUUUCUUAAUUAUUACACUUUAAGUAUGCUUCUUUUUGUCUUGGGUAGACACAUGACCUUUAAAACGUAACUACUUCUCUAUUCAAACUUGUCUUUCACCAAUGACAUCCUGUGAAGUCACAUUGACGGGUUCAGGCUCCCACGAAAAAUGACAUUCAUAACAGAUAUGGCAGCUGGACUUCUCUUGUUGGUUAUCCUCCUUUUCUUCCUCCCUCAGCCCAGUCUGACAGGGAUUCCUACACUCAUCAGAGAGAGACACUCAGUUCAGAUGACGGUUGACACUCCUCCACCUGUCUCUGUGUCUCACUAUCCAUCAACACACAGUGACCCUGUUUCUUUGAGGAUUCUGGGUGAACUACAGAAACCAGAGAUAAAUAUAAAUGACGAGUCUUCUGAUGUCAUCUCUAUUACCUGUGUUCUACCUGAGUCUGCCAGUGAUGGUAGCACAUGUCACCUAUACACUGGAGACCAGCCUCAUCCUUACAAAGAGACUCAGGCCAGAAGGAUGAGGACAUCAUCAUCCACUCAGGUGAUCUGCAUAUUCAGUGUGUCUAAGAGUGACCUGUUCAGAGGUCUGAAGGUGAGGAGAGAUGUGAGCUGUGACUACAGAGAGAACAUAGACUCCCACUCUGUCUCCCCACGCAGUGAUGGAUACAACUUCAUAGUUCAGAAACCACUGAUUUCUUCCAGUCAUAAUGAGGAGAAGAUCUUCAUCACCUGUGAGAUUCCUGGACACGCUGGUAAUGACACAACCUGUAACCUGUAUGUUGGAGACCAGAGUCAUCGUAUCCUGAAGACAAAGAUCUGGAGAAAAAAAUCAUCCAGUUCAAAUCUAUGGUUCUGUCAGUUCACUGUGACUGAAGAUGAUCUGAUCAGACAUCUACAGUCAGUAGGGAGUCAGAAGGUGAGCUGUGACUACAGAGUGAGUUCAGGACGAAACUCUCUCUCUCCACGUAGUGACGGGUACAUUAUAACAAAUCUAUUGGGAGAUCUUAUGAUCAUUGAUCCAACAACUAAACAGACAUCCUCUACAGCAGCAGGUUCAACUGUUAGUACUAUUAGUACUGUUAGUACCCACAAAGCCCCACUGAGACCAACUAGCAGUCUGACUGUUUCAUCUACUCCAACAUCUGACACCCGAAAGAGUCAAACUGAAGAGCUCACCUCUUCUUUGAUCCCCAGCACUGCAGUGAAUACUAUAUCUGGCUUAUCUGUUAGUUCUACUUUGACAACUGGCACCCCACAGAUUUCAACUAAAAGUCAAAGUUUCACAGAAAGUUCUGUGAAUUCAAACCAUCAAGAUAGCCUUCUGGUGAAACUAUUAUGGCUGGCAGCAGUGGGUGUGGUUUCUGGAUUGGGCUUGUUUCUGCUGGGAUUGACAGCUGUCUGUCUCUGCAGGAAGACCAAGAAGAACUAUUCUCAGAGAUCUGUCCAACAGGAUGAUCACAACCAAGUUGUAGGUUUGGUGAUGGGAGACAUGUGCAGUGGAGGCAUGGUGGAUUCAGGCCAUGAUGGGUUCUAUUCUGUCGUCUCUUCUGUACCAUCCACAUUCCUGCCCUCAGGUCCUAUUGCAAAGAAUGGAGAGGCCUCUGAAAAUGAAAAUUCUGAUAUAUACCACGUGUACUGCUCAAUCCCUGACAGACCAGCAACCUCAGCCCAGACAGAAGUGUUGUACAGUCUUCUGCAGACACACUGAAUCUAUUUGCUUUCUGUAGCUGUUCAACAGGUCUAAAAUAAAUACCUUCUAACAUGAGGUUUUUUGUUAAACACAUUCAUGUAAAUACACAUGUACAUCUGGGUUUUUUAUUACAUGACAUGUAUAUACAUAAUAUCUGUAUCUAUUUAUUUGUCCAGUGCUAAACCCCCCUGUAAAGUAUGUGAAAUGUUCUGUAUUUGUUUAUUUUGUCACCUUUAUGAUACUUUCCAUUACGGUUGGCUACAAUUUCCAUUAAAUGAAGUGUGUUUAGUUAAAAUUGAUAUACACAAUUUCAAAUAAUAAAAUAAAUGUAUUGAAUACAUAUUCAUAACUCAUGCAUGUAUAUAG
ensembl:lncRNA